ACGGGUGAGUAAUGCUUAGGAAUCUGCCUAUUAGUGGGGGACAACGUUUCGAAAGGAAUGCUAAUACCGCAUACGUCCUACGGGAGAAAGCAGGGGAUCUUCGGACCUUGCGCUAAUAGAUGAGCCUAAGUCGGAUUAGCUAGUUGGUGGGGUAAUGGCCUACCAAGGCGACGAUCUGUAGCGGGUCUGAGAGGAUGAUCCGCCACACUGGGACUGAGACACGGCCCAGACUCCUACGGGAGGCAGCAGUGGGGAAUAUUGGACAAUGGGCGGAAGCCUGAUCCAGCCAUGCCGCGUGUGUGAAGAAGGCCUUAUGGUUGUAAAGCACUUUAAGCGAGGAGGAGGCUACUUUAGUUAAUACCUAGAGAUAGUGGACGUUACUCGCAGAAUAAGCACCGGCUAACUCUGUGCCAGCAGCCGCGGUAAUACAGAGGGUGCAAGCGUUAAUCGGAUUUACUGGGCGUAAAGCGCGCGUAGGCGGCUAAUUAAGUCAAAUGUGAAAUCCCCGAGCUUAACUUGGGAAUUGCAUUCGAUACUGGUUAGCUAGAGUGUGGGAGAGGAUGGUAGAAUUCCAGGUGUAGCGGUGA
rnacentral:rRNA from 1 species